AAAAAUUGUAUAAAAAAUAAUAAAUUAGUAUAAGUUUAUGUUCUUGAAAAUUAAAAAAUUUGGCGGUAUUUUAGUCUUUUUAGAGGAACCUGUUCUGUAAUUGAUAAUCCACGAUUAAUAUAACUUGGUUUUUAAAUUUAUAUAUCGUCGUGAGUUGAAUAUUUUAGGAGAAUUAUAAUAUUCAAGAUUUAAAAUAAUAAAGAAAUUCAGAUCAAGAUGUAGUUUAUAGAAAAGAAGUAAUGGGUUACAAUAAUUAAAAUUUUUGGAUUAAAAGUUGAAAAAUUUUUAUGAAAUUGGAUUUAAAAGUAAUUUUAAUUUAUAUUUAAAAGAUGAUUAAAGCUCUGAAAUAUGC
rnacentral:rRNA from 1 species